GCAAGUCGAGCGCACUCUUCGGAGUGAGCGGCGGACGGGUUAGUAACGCGUGGGAACAUACCCUUUUCUACGGAAUAGCCUCGGGAAACUGAGAGUAAUACCGUAUAAGCCCUUCGGGGGAAAGAUUUAUCGGGAAAGGAUGGGCCCGCGUUAGAUUAGAUAGUUGGUGGGGUAACGGCCUACAAAGUCUACGAUCUAUAGAUGGUUUUAGAGGACGAGC
rnacentral:rRNA from 1 species